UGGGUAACCUGCCUCAAAGAGGGGAAUAGCCUCCCGAAAGGGAGAUUAAUACCGCAUAAUAUGUUUUGAUCGCAUGAUCGAGACAUUCAAAGGAUUUUCUUUCGGAAAUUCCACUUUGAGAUGGACCCGCGGCGCAUUAGCUAGUUGGUGAGGUAACGGCUCACCAAGGCAACGAUGCGUAGCCGACCUGAGAGGUGAUCGGCCACACUGGACUGAGACNCGGCCCAGACUCCG
rnacentral:rRNA from 1 species